rnacentral:rRNA from 1 species
GAUGAACGCUAGCGGCAGGCCUAACACAUGCAAGUCGAACGAGACCUUCGGGUCUAGUGGCGCACGGGUGCGUAACGCGUGGGAAUCUGCCCUUGGGUUCGGAAUAACUUCGGGAAACUGAAGCUAAUACCGGAUGAUGACGUAAGUCCAAAGAUUUAUCGCCCAAGGAUGAGCCCGCGUAGGAUUAGCUAGUUGGUGAGGUAAAGGCUCACCAAGGCGACGAUCCUUAGCUGGUCUGAGAGGAUGAUCAGCCACAUUGGGACUGAGACACGGCCCAAACUCCUACGGGAGGCAGCAGUGGGGAAUAUUGGACAAUGGGCGAAAGCCUGAUCCAGCAAUGCCGCGUGAGUGAUGAAGGCCUUAGGGUUGUAAAGCUCUUUACCCGAGAUGAUAAUGACAGUAUCGGGAGAAUAAAGCUCCGGCUAACUCCGUGCCAGCAGCCGCGGUAAAGUGACUACUG